rnacentral:lncRNA from 1 species
CAUCUUGUGAGACAAAGGAUUCGCUCCUGAGCCCUGCCACACCUAAAAAAAAUGCUUUGAAGGGCUUGCCGAGCUCACUCUUAAUCAUGGGAGAGAAAUUACCCACAUGGAGUCAGCAGAAAAUGAAAAAGUGGGCCUCGUGCUGAGAUAAUUCCAGCAAGUGCCAAGGGGCUAGUUGAGAUAUGGCUUCAUGAGG